GUCAGAAGAGGUUCGUGGAGAUGGUUAACGCUACCGCCUACUGAUAUAUAUAUCGUCGUUACGUAUAUAUAUACGUAGUUGAGUUGGAGGAGAAAUACGAUCGACGCGCAUAUAUUAAUAUAUAUCUAGAUAUAUAUAUGCAUGUAUUUUAGUAUAGUUUUUUUUAGAUGCGGACGCCGCUUAAUUAUCUGGGGUUUGGGUUUUUUUUUACCGUUUGUUGUAUUGUCGGAGAAAUUGAGAGGAGGAGAUGUUAGAGGAACCCUUUUCGCAGGCUUCGUUUUUUGUCUCAAUGCUGGUGAUAUAAUGGGUGAAAGAUAUCCAACUUGCUUCUUCGGCCGCAGUUCUCUUAGCUUAGCGUGUGCUGUAGCUUUUUUCCCCUCUCUCUGUGUGUUAAUGUUACUAAUCAACGGGAUUAUGAUGUUAA